ensembl:lncRNA
GUUUGAGGAUUUAUGCGACUGAAUGUGGGGCUGAAAACCCUGAACACCUACGUUCAACGCAGUUGCGCAAACAUGUCGCAACUUUGUCUCAGAUCUUAAACCUCAAGAAUCACGAGUUAGACCAAGUUGCCAACUUCCUAGGUCAUGAUAUUCGUGUUCAUCGCGAAUAUUAUAGACUUCCAGAGGCUACUACCCAGCUUGCCAAAAUAUCCAAACUACUGAUUGCCAUGGAGAAAGGGUCUCUCAAAAGCCUUCAAGGCAAAACACUUGAAGAGAUUGAAAUCGAAGAUAACCUACAGUUGACAGAUUCAAGUGAAGAAAGUGAGGUCGGAGCGGAGCGUGAGGAGGUCGGAGCGGAGCGUGAGGAGGUCGGAGCGGAGCGUGAGGAGGUC